GAGGUAGCAUAAUCAUUUGUUCUUUAAUUGAGGACUUGUAUGAAUGGAUUUUCGUAGAAAAUAUUGUCUCUUUUUAUUAUUUUGAAUUUUCUUUUUAGAUGAAGAAGUCUAAAUUAACUAAAAAGACGAGAAGACCCUAUUGAGUUUUAUUUUUUUUUAUAAAUUUUUUUUUAUUUAUAAAUAAAAUUUAGUUGGGGCAACUUAAGAGGAUUAAAAUUCUCUUUUUUUUUAUUUUGAUCCAAUUUUACUGAAAAUAAGAAUAAAUUACCAUAGGGAUAACAGCGUAAUUUUUUUAGAGAGUUCUUAUCGAUAAAAAAGAUUGCGACCUCGAUGUUGGACUAAAAUUUCCUAGUGGUGUAGCAGUUACUGAAGGUAGGUCUGUUCGACCUUUAAAAUUUUACGUGAUCU
rnacentral:rRNA from 1 species